UUCUGUACUAGAAUGCAACUUCAGGAGCUCUCCAGAUAAAGACAACAGCUAUCUCUUACUUUUCCAGGAACAUAAAUAAGAUUGAUUGUGACGUUUCAGGGACAUUUUUCAAGAACAAAGAUGAUCGUGUCAUGCUGCCAUGGGCCAGGCUGUCAAGGCUAUCUCCUCCUCCACCUUGACCAGCAGUUUCGUCUUCAGAAAAUGCUCCAACUACAGCCAGAAGAACAAUGAGAACCCUUGAGGAUGCACUGGUUCAGAAAAGAGGCUGAGGGUCUUCCCUUGAACUAAAAUUUUAUAAAGUUGAUUAAGAAGAGAAAAAUAAAAUUGAGCUAGGCGUGCAGUACAAUCGGUAGUCCUUGUUAAGACAGCUUGCCCUUGGUUACACUUCCUUUAGCUGAAUGCUAUUUAUCCCAAGACUCUUUAUUUGUUCUAUAGAUAAAAUCAAAGACAUUAUGAGAUGAUAAACUCUCCGUUUGAGUUUCUCCUUUAGGUUCUGCAUACCAACAAAUCUACCCUACACUACUGAUACCAGCUGGUCUGCAGGCCCCACAAGAAACUGACUCAUGGAAGAAUGCGUUUUCCACAUCCUGAUAAUUUCAUCCCCCUUAUCUCAACCAAUCAACAAUCCCAAUUUUCCAGCUCCUUACCUUCCAUGAUUUCCUUAAACACUGAAGCCCAGUGAAAUGGAUUUGAGGCUCAAGAAUUCCUCCCACUUCCUCAUUUGGCAGGCUUGUAAUUAUUAAACUCUUUCUCUGCUGCAAA